ACUUAAGAUAACUUAACAUUAGAUACUUCCAUAUUUGUAAUAUGAUGUUACCACAGCAAACAUACAAAAAGUAACUAUUACAGCGUGAAUUUUAAAUUGUACCCAACAAAAAGAAUCAGGUAAAAGGUAUCGUGAAUAACUUAAAAUAGAAAACGGAAGCAGCAUCACUGAUAAAAUACAAUAACUUCAAGCAGGAGUAUAACUUGAAAGUAUUUUCUUACACAGCUAAAGGUGUCAGCUAAUAUGUAGGGAACUUGGGAUCCACGUUGUAUGCCCAAGACUCUAAGCCCCCAACAAUGUCCUUGGCAGAUGUGAAACCCAUUUUGUGAAGACACUGAACAGCCCUUUGAGAAUCAUUUCCCCUUCUGCACACUACAUAUAAUUGUGCACCUGAUCCAGAAACUAGACCACUGUCCUCCUCUUUCUUCAAAGCUGCUGAUAUUUCAGGUAGCCGAGACUCUAACGUUGAGAGUGGAAUGUUCAGGGACUUCGGUAGAGAUACAAUCUUGAAAUGGUGAGCUGGUCUAACAUCAACCAGCACAUGUGGUUCCUUCUUAAGAAUUAUUUCACUGUAUUCCUUGCUGCUGAUUCUAGAUUCACUCGGAAGUAGAUGUAACUUCAAAGGAGG
rnacentral:sRNA from 1 species